GACGAACGCUGGCGGCGUGCUUAACACAUGCAAGUCGAGCGAUGAAGCACCUUCGGGUGUGAAUUAGCGGCGAACGGGUGAGGAACACGUGAAGAAUCUGCCUUCAACUCUGGGAUAACUCCGGGAAACCGGGGCUAAUACCGGAUAUGAGCCUUGAUCGCAUGAUCGGGGCUGGAAAGAUUUUCGGUUGAAGAUGACUUCGCGGCCUAUCAGCUUGUUGGUGAGGUAAUGGCUCACCAAGGCGACGACGGGUAGCCGGCCUGAGAGGGCGACCGGCCACACUGGGACUGAGACACGGCCCAGACUCCUACGGGAGGCAGCAGUGGGGAAUAUUGGGCAAUGGAGGAAACUCUGACCCAGCGACGCCGCGCGAGGGAUGAAGGCCUUCGGGUUGUAAACCUCUUUCAGUAGGGAAGAAGCGAAAGUGACGGUACCUACAGAAGAAGCACCGGCUAACUAUGUGCCAGCCGCCGCUGUAA
rnacentral:rRNA from 1 species